UUGCCUAGCAAGCACAAGGCCCUGGGUUUGGUCCCCAGCUCCGAAAAAAAACAAAACAAAAAAAAAAAAAAAAAAAAAAAAAACAAAGGUCUUAUGUGCUUGCUUGUUGGGUAGGUAUUCUCACAGAUUUAGAAAGAAAGCAAUGAGCACAAAGGCAGAGUCCCCAAAACAAGUGUUUUUUAUCAUGUGACCAAGCGAAAGCAGGACCCCUUGUCUGUACAUUUUGCCCCACUUCUGGCAUACAAAGGCAGCCUGGUGGAGAUGCUAAAAUGGCUCUGAGAUCUGAUUCAAACCACCUUAAUCUCUUUUCCUUCCAGAUUGAGAACAUCUCUAAGGACCUCUACAUAGAAGUCUAUCCAGGGACCUAUUCUGUCACUGUGGGCUCAGGUGCCUUAAGCAAGAAGACGCAUGUGGUUGCAGUUGACUCGGGGCAAAGUGUGGACUUGGUGUUCCCCGUAUGAUGUUGACAUCACUGCCAUCAUUUCACUCUAAGAAGAAGAAUAAAACCACCCUAUAACUGUCUUAA
rnacentral:lncRNA from 1 species